AGCAAAAUGAUGAAGUUCUUUAAUCCGAAGCUCUAUGUGGAACACAUAUAUAUAAUGGUUUUCAAAGUUCUCUGAUUGCU